GACGAACGCUGGCGGCGUGCCUAAUACAUGCAAGUAGAACACACAGUUUAUACCGUAGCUUGCUACACCAUAGACUGUGAGUUGCGAACGGGUGAGUAACGCGUAGGUAACCUGCCUGGUAGCGGGGGAUAACUAUUGGAAACGAUAGCUAAUACCGCAUAAUAUUGAUUAUUGCAUGAUAAUUAAUUGAAAGGUGCAAUUGCACCACUACCAGAUGGACCUGCGUUGUAUUAGCUAGUAGGUGAGGUAACGGCUCACCUAGGCGACGAUACAUAGCCGACCUGAGAGGGUGAUCGGCCACACUGGGACUGAGACACGGCCCAGACUCCUACGGGAGGCAGCAGUAGGGAAUCUUCGGCAAUGGACGAAAGUCUGACCGAGCAACGCCGCGUGAGUGAAGAAGGUUUUCGGAUCGUAAAGCUCUGUUGUAAGAGAAGAACGGGUGUGAGAGUGGAAAGUUCACACUGUGACGGUAUCUUACCAGAAAGGGACGGCUAACUACGUG
rnacentral:rRNA from 1 species